UAAGAAUAUUGUAUAUAUCUUGUAAUUUUUCCUCUCAUUGUUGUGUUUGGACAUAUAAAAAUCUGGUUGUUGUCGGUGUUCGGUGUUCCUGUUGAAAAGUCUAUUGCUUAGUUUUAUGUUUCCAGGAGUCAGGUUUGUACCGGAAAACUGUGAAAAGUGCUGGUAGAUUAAAAAGAAACCAUCCUUAACGGAAAGUUCUGUAUGUAUGAUGGCACCGACAUGAGCGGCGUGCUUUGCAAAACAUUUAGCCCGUUCCUUAGCGGGAAUGCCUAUGGGGAAUGGGUCCAAAUAAAGGUUAUGUAUUUUUAUGAGCAUUGUGUUUUGGAUUCUAUAAAUGGUUUUCUUGCUGCAAAUGGGAGUAGAUAUUGCUGGAAGCUUUCUAACACGUUUAAACCUUCUGUACUAUUGAGAGAGGUCAAAUUGGUUAGCGGUCACCUCACACCCGUUGAUAAAGCGCUUCGGUGCCGGUUCCGAAUAACCUGAGGUGCCCCAUAUACACAUUUUGUGCAUUGUUUGUUACGUGCGCCAAGGAGGCGGCUUGGGGAUGUUUCCCAUUCGGACUCCGGCCAACCCAGCCUUAUUCUCUAGGGUGUACUCCCAACCCGGAUACCAUCAGCCCCUGACACGCAACAUAAAAACUAGGAAACCAAAAUCAAA
rnacentral:sRNA from 12 species